rnacentral:lncRNA from 1 species
UUAGAUCCAGAGGACCUGUUCGGUUGCUUAAUUUAUGAAGCUGGCACGUGGACUCACGCUUUGACUUAGUUUGGUAUUAAAACUCAGCUGACGUUAUUAAAUAAAAUAGAGUUGAAGUAAAAGUAUAUUGAUAUAUGUUUAUGCGUUCUCCGAUGGGACUGCAAUAAAUAUAUCGUAACCGACUCAUCGUGAUAUACGUAACGCAAUAUUACGUACGAAAACAAAUAAAAUAUUUUUCUAUGGUAUUUUUUCACCGCAUGUAACGUAAUCUUUUCCGCAAUUCCAAACAAAGCUUUUGUAAAACUAAAAGUAUCACUGACAAAAUUUUCUUAAUCACAUCCACUAUCAUGCCAUUGAUUUUACAAAAAUAUGC